rnacentral:siRNA from 1 species
UUACAUUGUUCUUUUCUCUCGUGC